GGAGAAGUACCCAAGAGGCUGAAGGGGUCGGUCUCGAAAACCGAUAGGAGUUAACGCUCGCGAGGGUUCAAAUCCCUCCUUCUCCGCCA
rnacentral:tRNA from 1 species